CAAAUAUCGCAAACCUUGCUCCCGCUUUCCGGCCGAGAAUGCCCCUGCAAAAAGUUCUUUGUGAAUUUGUUCAAACCACAGACUGAAAUGAAAUGAGUGUCUGUUAACGCAAGCAAUCGCGUCGAAGUACUGUGAGUGGUCCUUCUGGGCGUUGAGAAACCUCUUUUGAAUGAGAAUGCACCGACGUUUUUCGACCGACGUCGCUCCGUUUACUUUCGUUUCGUGAAUUGGUGUCUGCUGGUCGAUGGUGAAUAAGUUCUGCUAUGAUGUCGGGAGAUUGUCGGGAAUUUCUGGCUACAACUUACAUUUCAGUCAUUUACAGUUCAUGGCUUUGUGGAUACAAGGAGCUCCUGGUUAAUGUUUUGAUCACGGGGAACGGAGUUUCCAUAUGCGACCGUGCAACCUGAUGAUAUCUGACAGACGGGACACAUUGCACCCAAGCACGGUAUGGCUCAGCAAACUGUGACUGGCCUAUUGACCGGGGCAGGACGGGAAUUUCCACAUUUUGGGACGACGGUAUAAAACAGUAACCGUUACCCACUCCACGCGAUCAGUCGUGUGUGACCACCGCAACAGCCAUACACCUGCAUACCAAGUAGUAUAAUCAAAGCGAACAGAGAUGUAAUGGAUAAAUUAAUCUUCGUGUUGAUGUGAGAACUGGACGGGAGUAGCUUGACUUGCCCUGUUACCAGCAGAAGCACUGACCUGAAUCAGGAGACCCUUGGAAUGGUGACUCAAAUGAAAUAAAAGGUAGGUUUGAACCCUCAGGUAAGUAAUCGACUAAGGGAAUCAAUGUUCUACUCCGAAUCCUCAUUAAUUUUUGGCCGGAAACGAGUCUGAUGUGAAGGUCAUAUUAACGUGAGAGUCAUGAUGCUUUGUUUUAGUGCACGUGAACAACUGAAACAUUGUCAUUCUUACUUUGCAGAUCAAUUACUC